UACGGGGGGGGCAAGCGUUGUUCGGAAUUACUGGGCGUAAAGGGCUCGUAGGUGGCCAACUAAGUCAUACGUGAAAUCCCUCGGCUUAACCGGGGAACUGCGUCUGAUACUGGAUGGCUUGAGGUUGGGAGAGGGAUGCGGAAUUCCAGGUGUAGCGGUGAAAUGCGUAGAUAUCUGGAGGAACACCGGUGGCGAAGGCGGCAUCCUGGACCAAUUCGUGACACUGAGGAGCGAAAGCCAGGGGAGCAAACGGG
rnacentral:rRNA from 1 species